UGAACGCUAGCGGCAGGCUUAAUACAUGCAAGUCGUGGGGCAGCAUGAGUAGCAAUACUUGAUGGCGACCGGACGAACGGGUGAGGAACACGUACACAACCUUCCUUCAAGCGGGGAAUAGCCCAGGGAAAUUUGGAUUAAUACCCCAUAAUAUAUUUGAUAAGGCAUCUUAUUAAUAUUAAAAGCUUCGGCACUUGAUGAUGGGUGUGCGGCUGAUUAGAUAGUUGGCGGGGUAACGGCCCACCAAGUCUACGAUCAGUAGCUGAUGUGAGAGCAUGAUCAGCCACACGGGCACUGAGACACGGGCCCGACUCCUACGGGAGGCAGCAGUAAGGAAUAUUGGACAAUGGACGAAAGUCUGAUCCAGCCAUGCCGCGUGAAGGAUUAAGGUCCUCUGGAUUGUAAACUUCUUUUAUAUGGGACGAAAAAAGGGCAUUCUUGUUCACUUGACGGUACCAUAUGAAUAAGCACCGGCUAACUCCGUG
rnacentral:rRNA from 1 species